rnacentral:rRNA from 1 species
UACGUAGGGAGCAAGCGUUGUCCGGAAUUAUUGGGCGUAAAGAGCUCGUAGGCGGUUUGUUGCGUCGGCCGUGAAAACCUGCAGCUUAACUGUGGGCCUGCGGCCGAUACGGGCAGACUUGAGUUCGGUAGGGGAGACUGGAAUUCCUGGUGUAGCGGUGAAAUGCGCAGAUAUCAGGAGGAACACCGGUGGCGAAGGCGGGUCUCUGGGCCGAUACUGACGCUGAGGAGCGAAAGCGUGGGGAGCGAACAGG